rnacentral:rRNA from 1 species
AGCAUCCCGCCUGGGGAUUCCGUCCGCAAGGCUUAGAGUCACCCGAAUUGACGGGGGCCCGCACGAGCAGCGGAGCGUGGGGUUCAAGUCGAGGCUACACGAAGAACCUUACCUGGGCUGGACAUGUAGGUAGUAGUGAAGCGAAAGCGGAACGACCGUUCCGGGGAGCCUACACAGGUGCUGCAUGGCUGUCGUCAGUUCGUGCCGUGAGGUGUCGGGUUAAGUCCCGUAACGAACGCAACCCUUGCCCUUAGUUACAUGUGUCUAAGGGGACUGCCCGGGACAACUGGGAGGAAGGUGGGGAUGACGUCAAGUCAGCAUGGCCUUUAUGUCCAGGGCUACACACACGCUACAAUGGCCGGUACAAUGGGUCGCCAAGCCGUGAGGCGGAGCCAAUCCCCCAAAGCCGGUCUAAGUUCGGAUUGUGGGCUGCAACUCGCCCAUAUGAAGCUGGAGUUGCUAGUAACCGCGCGUCAGCAAUAGUGCGGUGAAUACGUUCCCGGGCCUUGUACACACCGCCCGUCACGUCAUGGAAGCUGGCAACACGCUGAAGCCAGUGAGCUAACCCGCAAGGGAGC